GAAAUGCGAUAAGUAAUGUGAAUUGCAGAAUUCAGUGAAUCAUCGAAUCUUUGAACGCAAAUUGCGCCCGUCAGCAUUCUGGCGGGCAUGCCUGUUCGAGCGUCAUUUCAACCCUCAGGACCCCCCUUUCGCGGGGAGGGACCUGGCGUUGGGGAUCGGCCCGCCCCCCGCGGCGGCGCCGUCCCCGAAAUCUAGUGGCGGUCUCGCUGCAGCCUCCCCUGCGUAGUAGUUACAACCUCGCAUCGGAGCGCGGCGCGGCCACGCCGUAAAACCCCCGACUUUCUGAACGUUGACCUCGGAUCAGGUAGGAAUACCCGCUGAACUUAAGC
rnacentral:misc_RNA from 1 species